GACCCUGAUGUUGUGCUCCACAUUGGUUUC
rnacentral:piRNA from 1 species